rnacentral:rRNA from 1 species
GAUGAACGCUAGCGGCGCGCCUUAUGCAUGCAAGUCGAACGGUCUCUCGCAAGAGAGAUAGUGGCAAACGGGUGAGUAAUAGAUAAAUAACCUGCCUUUAAGUGGGGGAUAACACUUCGAAAGAAGUGCUAAUACCGCAUGUGAUGCUCUUUCAUAAGAAGGAUCAUUAAAACCGCAAGGUGCUUGAAGAGGGGUUUGUCUCCGAUUAGCUUGUUGGUGGGGUAACGGCCUACCAAGGCAAUGAUCGGUAGCUGGUCUGAGAGGAUGGUCAGCCACACUGGAACUGAGACACGGUCCAGACUCCUACGGGAGGCAGCAGCAAGGAAUCUUGGGCAAUGGGCGAAAGCCUGACCCAGCGACGCCGCGUGAGGGAUGAAGGCCUUCGGGUUGUAAACCUCUUUUCUCAGGGAAGAAUAAUGACGGU